rnacentral:rRNA from 1 species
AUGGCAGUGGUGGACAAGGCAGAGGUGGACCUCGAGGAGCGCGUCGCCGAGGCGCAGGCUUGGUUCCCCCAAUCCCACAAGGACUUGAAGGCCGCCCAGGACGUGCUGGCUGAGUGCAAGCUGGAGCUUGUCAUGAAGCAGGCCGACAUCAAGAAGGCCCGGGAGCUGGCGAAGGAGCAGGCCGCCAAAGAUGAGGCCGCUCGGCACCAGCACCAGGCCGAGCUAAACUCACAGGAGGAGGACCUUGCCGCUCGCGAGGAGAAGCUCGCCGCAACACUCCGCGGCAAGGAUGAGGAGGUGGAGAAGCUUGUCGUGCAGCGGACCCAGGAGCUGGAGCAGAGGCACAAGGAGGCGCUCAAUGCCCAAGCCCUGGUCCAUGCCGGCAAGGUGAAAGAGCGGAGGUGGAGCGGGACGGGCUGA